AUCAAGACAAGAUGAAUAAACAGAUGCGACUGAAGAAUUUGCACGUGCAGAUGAGUAGUAGAGUGAUACUUCUUUUCAAUUUAAUAUAUUGGUAUGGUGCUAUAUUCUCAGAACGGUAGCUAUGUCCAGACAUGGUGAUAGACGUACACUUGACAUGCUCAACCACUUAGUUCAUAGAUUCACAUUGAGUAAUGUCAGAUUAGAUCCUAAGCUGGUUCAAGGUUAUUUGAAUUUUGCAAGUUCCUAGUUUAUUCAUGAUGUAAAAGAAAUUAUUUGGCAUUGUUAUUAAUAAAAUUAGCCACUACGUACCUGCCUAGUGGGAUAUUCGAUAAAAAAAAUGAUGGAAAAACACUGUUAGAUCUCAUAGACUUAGAAAAGGAGACACUUUUGCUAUUUGGACUAUCAUAAGUUUCAAUAAAAAGCCUUAGUGCUGGAUUUUAAAAACAGUUAUCCUUUAUUAUAAAAAAUGCAAUUUUUGUGUAAUUUUAGCUGUUUUAUAUGAGACAUGCUAUGUUUUAUUAUCUUUUUACAGAUUUCCCUGAAAUCUCACUAGUUGAAUAAUGAUUGAGAGAUUGACUGAAGGGGUAACUUCACAGCUGUGGCCUAGUAAUAAGAAUUUUUGCCGAUUCCUUUAGCUCAGCAUUGCUCUAAAUACAGUGAUAAUGAUGAUUAUGAAGUGUUUUUUUGGGUAAAAUUCAUAGUUCAGUGGAUGUUGUGAAUAUAAUUUUUAUGAUCUCCUUUGCCUUGUAUAUUGCAGGUAUGGUGGAAUCUAUGUUGACUCUGACAUCAUAGUGUUAAACAUUGUCCUCACUUAAUAAUACUGUUGCAUUUGAGAAUGACCUACGUGGAACUCUGAAUGGUGCUGUAAUGGCAUUUAGAAAGCACAGGUAAUUAUUUCUAUGCCUGUUCUCCUCUUCUCUCACUCAAUAUAAAAUCUCAUUUAAGACUUUCAUAUAUCAUCAAAACUACAUAUAUUAAGAAACAAUUUACUUCGUACAAUCCAAGAUUCAGAAGAUUUAAGUACUUGUGCAAAAUUGAAAGCUUAAUACAUCUGAAAUAUGUAUGUAAUCAACCAACAAUCGUACAUGAGCGGAUGGUUUGUUUCCACCUAGUGACAAUUACUGACAAAUUGAAGCCUUAUUUUUCUAAGUGUUGAAAGAGCAUCUUCCAUGCUAUUUCUUGCAUCAGGUUUCGCUAAAGUGCAACUCAAGGCUAAUUCCAUGAUAGAUACCAUAC
rnacentral:lncRNA from 1 species